GCGCAACAGAUGCAGCUUGGCCACGAUGGCUGCGGAGGAUCGACGAUGAACGCGGCGGCAGCCUAGCAGGUCUCCAAUCGGCGCAACGGACGCAGCUAGCCGUGGAGGAUCGCAGCUGGACGCGAUGGCCGCGGAGGAUCAACGAUGGACGCAGCGGCCGCCCAGCAGGUCUCCAACGUCUGCAGCCGGCGGCCCAGCAGGUUACGUCAAAAUAGAAGGACUCCAACGAAGAUUUUUUUUUAUAUUUUUUUGGGUUCGUUGCUGAUUUGAUCGUGCGUGGUCUCGCGGCUUCGUUCGUGUGGGUCUCUUGCGAGUCUUGAGAUGGAUGGUACAGGGUGAGAAGCCUAGCUUCUCACAUCCAAUCGUGACCCUUGAUUUUAAUGAUAGUAUUUUAUUAGUCUUUGAUUUUAAUGGAGAUAAAUUCUUAUAUGCAUUAUUCUAGGUACACAAUGGUUGAAGACUCUCAGCAGGGGACGUUUUACUGGGUGGAUCAAGUAUAAUUUAAGUAUUCCAUUAUAGUAGAGAUUAGAAGUCUUAAGGGAGGCAUCACGUUAAUUCCCACCGGAUGCGAUAGGAAAAAGGAUAAAUUUUAGAAAUUCUCACAAUAAUCAGAAAUAUCUAGCCCUUGAUUUGGUAGGGUCUAAUCAUCAUCAUAGAUAUUAGCCAUUAGAUCUAUUGUAGUUUAUUAAAGAAUAACCACCACUGCCACUAUGAAAAAUACAUAAAGUAACCCCUUAAUUUUGAAUAUAAAUUACCCACCUCUGCCAUUAUAAAAUAUAAUUCAAAAUAACCCCCUA
rnacentral:lncRNA from 1 species